AGAAUCCACUACCAACCCCUAGAGGACAAGGUGGCGAAUAAGCUCACUCCUUGGGUGGGAAGACAUAUUGCCUCGGCGGGUCGUGCGGUCUUGGUCAAGUCGGUCCUCACGGCGAUUGCUACCUACUACAUGACGGUGUUACAGUUACCGGUCGAGGUCAAAAAGAAGAUUGAUGCCCUCAGAUGUGCUUUCCUUUGGGCAGGUUGUGAUAAGGUCACAGGUGGAAAAUGCAAGAUAAAUUGGGAGCAAGUGUGCAAGUCCAAGAUGCAUGGAGGCCUGGGAAUCUUAAAUCUCGACAAGUUUGCCAUUGCUCUUCGCCUUCGUUGGUUGUGGGCCGAGUGGCUUCACCCAGACAAGCCAUGGGUUGGCUUGGGAACCCCAUGUGAUGACAAUGACAGAAAUAUCUUUGCUGCGGCUACCACGGUCCAAGUUGGGGAUGGCAUGCGUGCCAAGUUCUGGGAGUCUCCUUGGCUUGAUGGGAUUAGACCCAAAGACCUGGCUCCUAAAAUCUUUGACUUGUCGAAGAAGAAGAACUGC
rnacentral:rRNA from 1 species